AACGAACGCUGGCGGCAUGCCUAACACAUGCAAGUCGAACGAGACCUUUGGGUCUAGUGGCGCACGGGUGCGUAACGCGUGGGAAUCUGCCCUUGGGUUCGGAAUAACAGUGAGAAAUUGCUGCUAAUACCGGAUGAUGUCUUCGGACCAAAGAUUUAUCGCCCAGGGAUGAGCCCGCGUAGGAUUAGCUAGUUGGUGGGGUAAUGGCCUACCAAGGCGACGAUCCUUAGCUGGUCUGAGAGGAUGAUCAGCCACACUGGGACUGAGACGCGGCCCAGACUCCUACGGGAGGCAGCAGUGGGGAAUAUUGGACAAUGGGCGCAAGCCUGAUCCAGCAAUGCCGCGUGAGUGAAGAAGGUCUUCGGAUCGUAAAACUCUGUUAUUAGGGAAGAACAAAUGUGUAAGUAACUAUGCACGUCUUGACGGUACCUAAUCAGAAAGCCACGGCUAACUACGUG
rnacentral:rRNA from 1 species